GACGAACGCUGGCGGCGUGCUUAACACAUGCCAGUCGAACGGAAAGGCCCUGCUUUUGUGGGGUGCUCGAGUGGCGAACGGGUGAGUAACACGUGAGUAACCUGCCCUUGCCUUUGGGAUAACUUCAGGCAACUGGGGCUAAUACCGGCUAGGAGCUCCUGCUGCAUGGUGGGGGUUGGAUAGUUUCGGCGGUUGGGGAUGGACUCGCGGCUUAUCAGCUUGUUGGUGGGGUAGUGGCUUACCAAGGCUUUGACGGGUAGCCGGCCUGAGAGGGUGACCGGCCACAUUGGGACGGGGAUACGGCCCAGACUCCUACGGGAGGCAGCAGUGGGGAAUAGUGCACAAUGGGCGGAAGCCUGAUGCAGCAACGCCGCGUGCGGGAUGACGGCCUUCGGGUUGUAAACCGCUUUCGCCUGUGACGAAGCGUGAGUGACGGUAAUGGGUAAAGAAGCACCGGCUAACUACGUG
rnacentral:rRNA from 1 species